rnacentral:lncRNA from 1 species
ACAUGGAUUUUAAUUUUUUUUUUUUUGUCUGCUCCACACAGACCAGAUACCUUGUCUUGGUGCGGUCGCAACAUCCUAAUCUUCCUUUCGUAAGAGAUUAUAUCGUCAAUGGAAAUUUGGGAUCACGGCUGACGAGGCGUGAUUCUGAAGAGUAUGAUGAAGAUAAAUAUGGCAGAGUAAGUCUAAUUUUAGGCACGGGCGAGAAUGACAGGAAUGCUGUUUCUGAAAUGGCCAAAAAGCGGAGAGAAGAUUAAGGCUUCAUGAGCAACAACGACAUUUUCAACUUAUCGUUGCGACUCGCUCGGACCUCGUCGUUUUCGCAUUAGAACCUCCGUUUAACGAUGACGCAAGAAGCGGGCGCGGGGGCGACGGCGGCGGGCUGCUCUGGCGGGGCGGGCGUGAGCAACCUGAUGCGUCGAUCGUCGUACUCGCCGAUGUCGUCGCUGUCGUCGCAGCAGUCGGGCGAGCCGCUCAUCGUCGUCGAGGAGUCGAGCGCCGAGGACGCCUACGCCUUCGACGAGCGGCAGGAGGGCUCCGGCGACUCCCGCCCUCCUCCCCGCCCUACCCCGCCCAGCACGACCCCUUCCUCCUCUCACCGUACCGGGACAUCCGGAAGCGCUCCCUCCCCACCCCCCAGUG